CUCCCACUAGGCGCCACCAUGGUUUCUCCGAGGCCCCCCCCUGGCUUCCUACGCCCCUGGAUGAAAGUAGAUAUGGGUUUUUGUUUGGUGGCCCAACCGUAGACAUACAAAAUAACUGGCGGCCCAUCCAAACUGCCCAAAGAUUUUUCAUGGCCUAUCCCAAAUCACUCCGGCCCACCCUAGCAGUUACUUUAUGACCGGUCCCUAACGUGAUAUUUAACGUAAAAGAUGCUGGGAUCAAUCGGAAAAGGAAACCUAAUUUGUUUUGUUGUAGUUUGUACGGCCAAAACAACCAAGCAACAAGGCUACAAAACGUCUAUA
rnacentral:lncRNA from 1 species